GGGGUUCUGCGUAAAAUACGCAGCUACUUCUCACGGCACUGGCAGGGAUUCGCGAGGGGAAGAGGAAGGGCUCUCGGCAGGCACCGGCGACUUCAUUACUGCAUAUACUAAGUAACAUUUGGAAGUAAGAAUUAUUUGGGUGUUAGUUUUGGUUAUACGGUAUGGAUGAGAAGGUGGAAAAUGUUAUCAAGAAGCUGUCUCCUUGUGAUGUGGAAGCCUUGAAGAAAUGCUUGGAGGAAAACAAAGGGGACUACUUGAAAUGCCAAUCUCAGAUUGAAGCUUUCAAGUCAUCCUGCUCACUGAAGAAACCUCCAUCUUCUCAGGCCUCCUCAUGAGUUAAGCUUCAUGUGCGUUUCAGGUUUUUUAGUCUCAGAACGGCGAUUUGGUCAUUCUGAGUGACUAGAUUGUAUCUGGCUGUUGCUUGUAAUCGAGUAUGACUUCUCUUUUAUUUUAUUGUGCCCCAUGAUAUUUCCUAAAUAAAGUGCAGAGUUCAAGCACUACUUCAUAAAAGAUUCAGCUGGUCUUAGAUUUAUUGAUUAAGAAAGAAACAAUGGUUAUAUCUUUUGAGCAACUGCUUGCUUAAUGUGAUUUUUAUUUUUACA